GUGAAUCAUCAAAUUUUUGAACGCAAAUUGCACUCUCUGGUAUUCCGGAGAGUAUGCCUGUUUGAGGGUCAGUUUAAAUAAAAAUCGGUGUGGUUGCUGCUUUUCGUGGUGACGCACCGGAUUUGGGUCGUCUUGCCUUCGGUUAGGUGACCUAAAAUUUGGAUUGAUUUUUUUCGACGGUUUUUAAUGGUUUUUAGUUAGGUUUGGA
rnacentral:misc_RNA from 1 species